AAGACCAUACUUCACAGGAUCAUUUCUGUAGUAGGUCUUCCCCAUACUCUCUACUCAAACGUAGAAUUGUCGCAACCAUGAAUUGACAAGACGAGACCACAGUCUCGUAACUCGUAACCUGAGCGUGUGAGGCAGAUUUCCUGUGGU